rnacentral:rRNA from 1 species
UACGUAGGGUGCGAGCGUUGUCCGGAAUUAUUGGGCGUAAAGAGCUUGUAGGCGGUUUGUCGCGUCGGGAGUGAAAACCCAGGGCUUAACUCUGGGCUUGCUUUCGAUACGGGCAGACUAGAGGUAUGCAGGGGAGAACGGAAUUCCUGGUGUAGCGGUGAAAUGCGCAGAUAUCAGGAGGAACACCGGUGGCGAAGGCGGUUCUCUGGGCAUUACCUGACGCUGAGGUGCGAAAGCGUGGGGAGCAAACAGG